GGGGAUAAUUAUGACCAUUAUUAUGCUCAAAUGUAAUUAUUGUCUCAUUUUUAUCCUUUUUGUAGUGUAAACUUAAGUAUAAAAAUAAAGAUUUAUGAAUAUGUCAGACAAAUUAUAUACAAUGGGUGAUCACUUGGUAAGUAAUUUUUAUACCUUUGUUGUUGUCUGUGUAGAUGGAGGCUAUUUUGGCAAUAGCCAUGCACUUAGACAUAGCAUGACCAGUCCAUUUGUGGACUGCCUACAUCUGUUAAACAUGAUUGAAUACCCAAAUUAGAUUCAAGAUUAUGAUAUGUCCCAGGCAUGGAUCCAAAAAUGACCAUGUACUGAAGUUAUAUGGCAUGAGCCAUGUAAAAUAUGGUGGGAAACAUACAAUUGGGGCUGCAUCCCACCAUAAUGCACUAGUCAAUUGAAACCCCGACCCCCGGGAUGGGGAGGGGAAAUUAACAUUUUGACAAUGUUAAAUUUUGGACAUAUCCCUGCUACCGGGAGAAUAUUGACUGUUAAAAUUACUGUCCCUAUGGCCCCAGCACUUUGCAAAUUUUCAUGACUUGGGAAAUUUUCAUGACUUGGGAAUUGUCCUGGCUAAUAAAUUGACUUAAAUUGUUAUUUACCCUGUACCCCAGGGGAAAUCUGCAUUAAGACCAUGUUAAUCCACAGCCAUUCCCCUGUUAAUUCCCCGCCCUGUCCCGGGGGUUGGGGGUUUCAAUAGACCUUUAUAAAAAGGUUGACGUCAGCAGGCUUGUGACGUAGUUUGCGGAGAAAAUCCCGAAAGUUCAGAGUUGUUUACUUGUUUUGAGUUUUUUAAGAGCCAAAAGAAGCCAGUAUCAUGGUAAGUUUGAAGUAAAUUUUUCUAUAUAUAGGCCAAAUGAGUUUUCAUAUUCGUCGGAGUUUAAAUUUUAUUUGUUUUUAUAUUAGAUUGUACAUUUAUUUUACUGUCAACAUUUAGAAACUUGUUCACUCGGUUUGUUUACAUAUUUCGUUGCUAAAAAGUAUAUUUUUUCUUUUUUGUUUCUCAAAUUCAUCAGUCUAAUCAUCAGAAUGGCCCAACCUGGCAAAACCUUGAUAGAAAAUUAAAGCUAAGAUUGUUGACCCAGACGCGGAAAGUGUUUGAUACACGAUUGAUAAAAGCUACUUGUCAUGUAUGUUCACUUCAACUAUAUAUCGAUAAAAUAAUAGACUUUAUUGACCUCAGUUUAUAUGUCUAAGUUCACUUAUGACUUAUGUACCUCUUUACACGAUCACUGAGCCUGUGAAUUGCUGUCUACAGCUUGAUUGGGGCCAUUCUGAUGAUUAGACUGAUGAAUUCAAGAAACAAAAGAGAAAAAAUAUACUUUUUAGCAACGAAAUAUGUAAACAAACCGAGCGAACAAUUUUCUAAAUUUUGACAGUAAAAUAAAUGUACAAUCUAAUAUAAAAACAAAUAAAAUUUAAACUCCAAUGAAUAUGAAAACUCACUUGGCCUAUAUAUAGAACAAUUUACUUCAAACUUACCAUAAUACUGGCUUCUUUUGGCUUUAAAAAACUCAAAACAAGUAAACAACACUGAGCUUUCGGGAUUUCCUCCGCAAAGUACGUCACAAGCCUGCUGACGUCAACCUUUUUAUAAAGGUCUAUUGACUAGUGCAUGCAUAAACAUUGCAAAGGUCCAUUUUGUAAAUUAAUGGCACUAUGUAUUUAAUCUUAAUUUAUAGGGCCUGUGAGUUCAUAUCUGGAAUAAAAUAAUGGCAAUUCUACAGAAAUAUCACUGCUAAGGAGUGUCAAACAAAUUCAGGAGGACUGAAUUAACUGGAUGCUCUCAGGAUGAAAAAGAAAUUGUUGACUUUAAUUGAAUAAUCAUUAUCAUUAAUGUAAGGUUAAAAAUAUUGAACAUUCAAAAGGAUGCAGACAGAAAAUUGAAAGUAGGGCCUAAAUUUCAGGUUAAGUGAUCCAGGAAUGGGGUUGGCCCUCUGCAGGCUAAAUCAAUUGAGGGAGAUCCCUUUAUUUCAAGUUAAAUGAUUAUUUAAAUAAGAUGCCAUUCAGGCAAUAAGGGCCUGGUUAGGUCCAUAUUUUAAUUCAAAUUAUUAAGUACUCGAUUUAUCCAUCAACAAAACCCAACAUUAAAAUUUCCAUCGAGUGAGAUGCAACAAAACCAUCUAUAGUUUAUUAAUUAUGUUAACCUAAUCCAUCAAUUGGCAAUGAGCCUACUUUAGUAAUAAUUUUAUAUACUCCAUCUCUAAUUUGCCCAUUAU
rnacentral:lncRNA from 1 species